rnacentral:rRNA from 1 species
UGAACGCUGGCGGCGUGCCUAAUACAUGCAAGUCGAGCGAACAGACGAGGAGCUUGCUCCUCUGACGUUAGCGGCGGACGGGUGAGUAACACGUGGAUAACCUACCUAUAAGACUGGGAUAACUUCGGGAAACCGGAGCUAAUACCGGAUAAUAUAUUGAACCGCAUGGUUCACUAGUGAAAGACGGUUUUGCUGUCACUUAUAGAUGGAUCCGCGCCGCAUUAGCUAGUUGGUAAGGUAACGGCUUACCAAGGCAACGAUGCGUAGCCGACCUGAGAGGGUGAUCGGCCACACUGGAACUGAGACACGGUCCAGACUCCUACGGGAGGCAGCAGUAGGGAAUCUUCCGCAAUGGGCGAAAGCCUGACGGAGCAACGCCGCGUGAGUGAUGAAGGUCUUCGGAUCGUAAAACUCUGUUAUUAGGGAAGAACAAAUGUGUAAGUAACUAUGCACGUCUUGACGGUACCUAAGCAGAAAGCCACGGCUAACUACGU